ACCUAACUGCUCUCCUAAAUGCAAAUUUUAUUGCAUCAGCUUUUUGUGCCGACUAAAAUUUACCGAAAGUGAUAUGGAACUUGCGAAGAAGUUAAUUUUGCUGUACUUUGCAUUUUCAAAGCCUGUAUCAAAGAGGUAAACUUGUUUAUUUUGCUGAACGAACACAUUCCAUCAAAAGCCUCUUAGUAAUGAUGUUUAGUUUUUUAAAGAGCUAAAGAGUAUCUGAAUAGAAAAAAUGUCUGGAGAGUUAAGAAAUCUGUCAGUAAUUUGAUAUUUAUACUUUUCUUCCACAAGAGACAAAGCCAAGUCUAGACUUUCACUUGUUAAAUCGCAUGAAAAUCAUGUUGAGCACAUCAAAAUAGUCUUAAAUCUUUUCCUCAGUGCGUAAUCUGCAUAGUUUGUAGCACGCUUUUUCAACUUUACCUCGUCUGUGGACAGCUCUCCUUAGCGGCAGACAGGUUGUCGCAGAGAGACUCGAGAAAACCUAACCAAAAUAAAGAAACAAUACUGUGUGUGAAAAAAAUUUUAAAAUUAGUGUCUUCCUUAAAUUUUUAACCUACUUCUCUUUCAGGGAGAUGUCGAAUCUCGGUUGUUGGCAUCGCUGAUCAAUGGUGUGCACAAAGCGUAUUACUUUGCAUCUUUGGUCAACCCCAAGGAGAAUGUCAUUCCUGAUGAGCACAUAGAAGUUAUGUACAAAUUGUUUAUGUUGGAGCUUUCAAUGUAGGGAUCCAAGCCCUGUUAUUGCUUCAGAAAGUUGACCAUUCUGAUCGAUUUUACUCAGCUCUCUAUCGAAAAAUGCUGGAUCAUCGUUUACCACAAACAUCCCAUCCAGCCCUGUUCAUCAACCUGAUUUACAAAUCAAUCAAUAAAGAUAGGAAUUUUGAUCGAAUCAGAGCCUUUCUCAAAAGAUUGUUUCAUUUAUGUUUGUACUCUCCUGUGCCACUCGCCUGUGGUAUUCUUUACUCAAUCUCUCAACUUCAGUCAAAUCAUGCUUUCAAAAUCGGUCGUCUCGUUGAGGAGAAUUUCGAUGAUGUUGAUAAGUUUUAAAGAUGAUGGUUCAACGGAAGAAAUCUAUAAGGACAUCAAAUCAGAGGAUGAAGAUGAAACAAAUCAAGGACAGGCAACGAAGUCAACAAAAUCUAAAAGCAAUGAAGCUAAUAAUACCAUCACUUCCUCAUGGAACCACUGUUUGAAUACUGUAGAGCAAAAGGUCCACUUUCAUGCAAAGUACGAUCCACUCCAAAGAAAUCCCGCCUACGCUGGAGGAGAAAGAGCUGUCUUCCGGGAACUCUUCAUGCUGACAAAGCACUUUCAUCCAACUGUAGCUUUAUAUGCGAAAAACAUCGUCGACGGUAAAUACAUUGUACUGUUGCAUAAAUCAUUCAAAAGAUUUUGGGAGUCAGCAAGGAGAACAAAAUUGCUGCAACCGCACACUCCACA
rnacentral:lncRNA from 1 species